rnacentral:rRNA from 1 species
CCUACGGGUGGCUGCAGUGGGGAAUUUUGGACAAUGGGGGCAACCCUGAUCCAGCCAUUCCGCGUGAGUGAAGAAGGCCUUCGGGUUGUAAAGCUCUUUCGCAAGGGAAGAAAACUUACUCAAUAACACUGGGUGAGGCUGACGGUACCUUGAUAAGAAGCACCGGCUAACUACGUGCCAGCAGCCGCGGUAAUACGUAGGGUGCGAACGUUAAUCGGAGUGACUGGGCGUAAAUCUUGCACUGGCGUUUGAAAUCCCCGGGCUCAACCUGGGAACUGCGUUUGAAACUACAAGGCUAGAGUAUGGCAGAGGGGGGUAGAAUUCCACGUGUAGCAGUGAAAUGCGUAGAGAUGUGGAGGAAUACCAAUGGCGAAGGCAGCCCCCUGGGUCAAUACUGACGCUCAUGCACGAAAGCGUGGGGAGCAAACAGGAUUAGAUACCCCAGUAGUC